UAACAAAUUCAUGAGAAAAUGGUUAUUUAAAUUCAGUUUUCUUCAUAUACAUCCAUAGUGGACAAGCUGACAAUCACAAACGUAAGAUUAAUAACAUGACAGUUCACACAACUGAUAGGCGCAUGACAUGAAGUAGCCAAGAAGUAAGCGCAAUUGCGCAAAUAGCAGUACCCAUUAUUGUAACUAGCCAACUAGGAGGUGCUAAAGAACAGCAGCUCCAAGUCUCUAGUACAGCACUUCGUAGGUGCAAUCUGCAGCAACCCCAGCAGCUCUGAGCGACGGAGCCUUUCACUCUCCGGUGAUAAAAUCGCCCGAGUUCUAAUCUUUAUUCCUCUUCGUCAAAGCCCCUUCGAGUCCAGAAUUCACAAUUGGGCCAUUGUAUACAAGGAACUGCUUCAGGUUCCCCACCUUCGGGAAGAUCUGCCACUCCAUGCUGCCCGGCGAGAAGACGGCGACCUGCGCUGCCCUCAUUUCCUUGGAGAUGCACACGACGCGGAACGACCGGGGGUCCUCUUCGGGGGUGACCACGACGAACUCAGGUUCGGCGUCUUCGCGGGUCUCAACGGGCGGCGCGCGGAGGAGAUGCAGGCGCCGUGUGAGCGGGUCGUAGACGGCCGCCCGCUUGGUGCUCCGGCUGACGAGAACCACGUACCCGUCGCGGCACGAGGUCAUCGACCACCCGGGGCUUUUGUAUCCGCCUUCGAAUUCACUUUCUUCGUCGCCGUCGCCGUCGCCGCCUUCGCUUUCGUCUUCGUGUACACGUGUGAGGGAAACGUCGGCGCCGCGGACGGCAGCGGCAUGGUCCGGGUCGUCGGACCCUUCGUCUUCAACGUCGGGGACGCGGGUGAGGAAGACGUCGGCGCCGCGGACGGCGGCGGUGUGGUCUGGAUCGGACCAGUGGCGGUUAGGCACGAAGGCGGGCAUGGCGGAGUCGUAGAUGUCGAGGAAGACGCCCAGGAGCGGGGCCGGGUGGAGGUCGCGGAAGCGGCGGCGGAACGAGGGGGACGAGCGGACGGCUCGGAGGAAGGCGGGGCAGGUGAGGGCUGCUCGGACGAGGCUCGGGAGGGAGGGCAGGCGGAGGAACACCUCGCACAGAAGGUCGUCUCCGAGGCCGCAUAUGGUGGUGGGAGCGGCUGGUGCGGAUUUCAUGUUGGACGACGGCGGCGGCUCACUGCAGGCUAUGGCGAUCGCCGGCGGCAGUUCGGGAGGCCACGGGAAGAUAUGAGUGUGAUUGCUCUAGUUCAAGAAAGAAAUGGGACACGGACAUUAUGUAGGGCCGCCCCACCAAUGAGGUCCAGAAGGAAUGUGAGAAGUCGGCCCAGCAUGCAAAGCCGGAAGAGAGAAAGGCACGACAUUAUUGUUCAGUUAUCCUUAUCUCAAGAUUCUACUCUCUCCGUUCCUAAAUAUUUGUCUUUUUAGGGGGACUUCAACAAGUGACUACAUACGAAGCAAAAUGAACGAAUCUACGCUUUAAAAUAUGUCUACAUGCAUCCGUAUAUUAUGUUCAUUUAAAAUGCCUAGAAAGAUAAAUAUUUGGGAACGGAGGGAGUAAAAAAUAUAUUCUUUAUCUCAAACCCCUCAAAAAAAGUUAUCCUUAUCUCAAAAGUGAAAUGAUUCUUUUUAUAUAAAAAAGGGGAAAUGGUUUUAUGAGAGCAGCGAUUCGGUGAUCAACUCAUCUGCACCCUCAAUGAAGAAAAACAAUUCAAGACAAAUACUAAAAAUAAAAAAAAACUACUCAGAUGUCUAAAUGAUUUGAAAUUUGGAGCGGACCUCACGCGCCAAAUUAUCUACCAUGCAAAAAAUAGUUUUUAAAAAAUCUGGUAUUUUUUUGAAUUUUUUUUCUUCAUCGAGGGUGCAGAUGAGUCUGAUCACCGAAUCGCUACUCUCAUAAAACCAUUUUCCCUUUUUAUAUAAAAAGAAUCAUUUCGCUUUUGAGAUAAGGAUAACUUUUUUGAGGGGUUUGAGAUAAGGAAUACACCAAAUUAUCUAUCAUGCAAAAAAAUAGAUUUUUUAUCUCAAGAUUCUAAAAAAAAGAUAUUCCUUAUCUCAAACUCCUCAAAAAAAAGUAUCCUUAUCUCAAUAGCAAAAAUGUUUAUUUUUUAAAAAAAAAGAAGGGAAAAUGGUUUAGUUAUGAGAGCAGCAAUCCGGUGCUCAGGCGCUUGGUGCGUGAGGUACGCUAUGAGUAGCUCUCUGCAAAAGAGGCAAAUUUAGGGUUUGUAAAAAAGUUUAUUGUUUAUGUAUUGUUCUAAUUAAAAAAAAACUGAGAACUACUCAUAUGUUCAAAUGAUCUAAAAUUUGAAGUGUACCUCAUGCACCAAAGUAUCCACCAUGCAAAAAAAUGGUAUUUUUUGUAUUUUUUCUUGACCGGAUGCAGAUGAGUUUGGACUUAGAAAUGGAUAUUCGUUCAGUUAUCCUCCACUCAUGUGCUUCCGCACCCUCCCCCUCACCCCCGCCCACCAUGCGAGUCACCGGCUCACUGGUCGUGGCCCUAUUGCGGUGCUGCCAUAGGCAACCCCAACUGUUGUGAGUGACAAACGGUGACACAUGAGACUGCCCACUCAUGAUACUGUGAGCAACCGCCGGCGAUGUUGUGAGUGAUCGGCGGCAAUGUUGCGGACCCAGACGACGAUGCUAUGUAUGCCUGACAAUGACAAGUGACCUAGCAAGCGAUGCCGAUGCUGCAAAUGACAACACCAAUGUUGCAUACCCCAAGCGGUGAUGCUACAAGGAGCCACUAGCGACGCAUGGGCGUGUCAAUGGUGUUGUGAGCAACCGGCUUGCAAUGUUGUGAGUCGAGCGACCGCUGUGACGGUGCUGCAAGUCAGCCCUGGGACGGCAACCGGCGGUGCUAUGACAGGUACAUAGAGUGCUGGCAGCGGCGCUGCGCCGAGGCAACGAGGGUGAGAGACGUUGCUGCGAGCGGCAUGGGAGGAUAACUACGUGCGAGAGAGGCAUUUGAUGAUGCCGUGCCCCAGGGUCAGAGGAACUCUUAGAUCGCGGCUGUGCUGCGGGAGCAGCUAUUUUGGGGGAGAAUUUGAACGACAACGACAUCUUGUGGAGACAGUCGUCAUACAGGACGUCGUAGCGGCCUCUCGCAACUGGAUCAUGUCGAGGUCGUUACUUCUCGGCAAUCCGGUCUUGAUGGACCCGUCGCGCUCCCAGACAGAAUCCCAACAUGAACAGAUUUCCUUCGGACACUGAUGCACGAGGCACCAUCCAGCGCCUUCCAGAAGUCCACGAUUUAGAAGAUCAGGUCACAAACAUUAUUGUUCGGUUUAUCCUCUAUGUCAAUGCUGCGAACGGACUAUGAGUCCACGACCUGCAGAGCCGAGUCUGGCUGGCUGAGCCAGACCACGUCGUGUGCGACAUGCGUGUGGGUAUUUCUACUGAACAUGUUGUGUGUGUGUCAAAUAUGAUAACUCCUUCCGUAGAGUAGUGAUCUAAACGCUCUUAUAUUUCUUUACGGAGGGUUUACAUAGUAAACAUUUGAAUCUAUCUUUUUUCUCGAACCAUGCAGGAGGACUGCAUGUAUUAUAUUAAAGAUAGAAGAAGAAAUACACGAGCAAACGUCCAUCAAAGUUACAAGAAGGACAACCUAGACUUCAGCAAACAAAAAGACCCAAAGCCCUGACCACCACAACUGUCUACAAAAACCUCAAAUAGAACGAAACUAAAAUAAUACAAAGGGACCUAGACUUGCUUCUGCCCAAUGCAUCGCGUCAAUCUUAAUCUGAUUGGUGAUUCCUUGAAGCGGUGUGUGCGAGUUUUCAAAAAUUCUGCCAUUUCUUCCCCUCCAUAUACUCCAUAUAAUUAGUUGUACCAUAGUGCUCAAGGAAUUCCUUCUAGGUCCGUGGACUCUAUUUCUGGCCUCUUGCCACCAAUUCCGGAAAUCAGGAGCAUUUUGAGGGAUGGCGUCUCUCUGAUUUGCCCAAAGAAGCACUGAACUCUAAAUGAUGGUCACAACACUACAACCCAUGAAAAGAUGAUGAACUGAUUCUUGCGCAAUAUUGCAGAAACAGCAUGCAGUCUUUGCUCGUCUCUUCGUUCUCUUCCUGCUCAUCCCCAAUUCCUCCAAUCUAAGUAAACCUCCUGGAUCUUGUGAGUAUCAUCCAGGACUCGCAUGGUGCAUAGAGAGCUUCUUCACGUAUCGCCUGGCUUCGAGGACGCGGAGAUCCACAGGGUAAGAACGCCACCGCCGUUAAAACGUACUAGUAUCCAGUUCACGACUGUACAUGAAUCUUCCUUGUGCAGGAUUAGUAACUUUGCAGGAAUCUUUGUGUAUAUAACAGAUCCAACUUCAUACCGCAUGCACUCGUGUAUAUAACUUUCUCGUACGCCUUGGCCGUGGCUGCUUCUGGUUGCAGGGAGCACUGACGGGAAGAGCGCCGACACGGUCUCCGGUGAAGGGAGGCAUAUGGUGGUCGUCUUUGCCGACGCCCGCACUGCUAGCCUCCAUUUUUGUUCUCGCAUGAUAACAGGCCUGGCUGCAUCCAGAGGGACAAAGACAGUCGAGGUGUAUAUGUAUGAUUGUGCUGGGCUUGGCUGCGUAAUCUUCAGCCUGGGCCUUAAGUUUGGCGAAACAGAGGGUUUAUUUGCUGAGUGGAUUCUCGAAAGAAGAAGAAAAAUGAUGAUGUCUAGUGAGUGAAUUCCCUGUCUGAUCAGUUGGUGUUGCAACUUAAUAAAAAAAAAGCUGAUGUUGCAACUAGCAAAUGUCCUAAAACUUCAUGUCAUAAAGUUAAUUAUGACCGAGCUCAGCUUCUCCCCCUUUUUCAGCUACUAAUACAAACUCAAGCACCGGAACUUCCAUCCAGUUCACAAACAAGCAUACGAGAUCCAACUUACUGGUCUAACUACUUAACAUCAUAUAAGAGAAACAUGAAGGGAGCUAGCAUUCUCAGCGAUGAGUAUUCAGUUCUGCAAAACAAAGGUCACCCUUCUUGCUUUACAUGACUUGAUAAUCUAUGGUGGAAGCCUGAGCAAUGGUCUAACAAUUCUCAAGAAAGUUAUACAGCAAUCAAACAAUGCAAGAAUAGACAGUUAUGGAGCUUCAGGUCGUCAUUUUACACAACCAUUUCGCAAUGGGUGNNNNNNNNNNNNNNNNNNNNNNNNNNNNNNNNNNNNNNNNNNNNNNNNNNNNNNNNNNNNNNNNNNNNNNNNNNNNNNNNNNNNNNNNNNNNNNNNNNNNNNNNNNNNNNNNNNNNNNNNNNNNNNNNNNNNNNNNNNNNNNNNNNNNNNNNNNNNNNNNNNNNNNNNNNNNNNNNNNNNNNNNNNNNNNNNNNNNNNNNNNNNNNNNNNNNNNNNNNNNNNNNNNNNNNNNNNNNNNNNNNNNNNNNNNNNNNNNNNNNNNNNNNNNNNNNNNNNNNNNNNNNNNNNNNNNNNNNNNUAAACAAAAUUGCACUUCAUCGAUUCCCUAAAAAAAACUCGGUUUCUUCAUAAAUCCAUAGUGGACAAGCUGGCAAUCACACAUAAGUAAAUAACAUGACUGAGUUAACACAAGAAAAAAGUCCAUUUUACUACCCUGAACAAAAUUGGUGGUUCACAUUACCCCUUAAUCUAUUUUUCUGCUCCUUUCACCCCCUAAACAAUCCCAAAGCGGACAAAAAUCAUCCCUGGCUGGUUUGCCCGCUGGUCAAAGGUUGUAUUUGACCAGUAGGCCCAAGGCACACACCCCACUGAACCCUAAAUCCUCGCCCCUGUGCCCCAUCGGCCAUGGCCGCCGCCGGCUAAGGGCAACCGCCCCUGUGCCCUGGUUCACCAGCUCCCUCGUCCUCCCGCGGGACACCGGAUCUAUGCUGUCGGCACGUGCCUCAGCUCGCCUACUCGAGCCCCGUCGCCGGAGCGCCGCCCUGCUCCACUGGCCCGCCGACCCUACCACCUAGAUGUCGCCCUGCUCGCGGCGCCGGCCCUUGCUGCCGCCUCCACGCCCAUGGCCGGCCGCCUCUGGUCGACGGGAGGCUACGCCCUCUGCAGCCGCCAUGACCGCUGCCCCGAGCUCCUCUGCGCACGGCUGCACCAGAGCACCACUGCGUCGAUGCGUCGCCAUUGAGGCCCUCCACGCCGGCGACCUCUACGCCCAGCGCUGCUCCGUCGCCAGCCGCUGCAGCACCUCCCCGCCAUCCGUGCCCUUAGCUCCGUCGUGCUCCGGUUAGCCACCGGCUAAACCUAUCAUUAGUAAUUAGUUAAUCCACCCCCUGAGUCACUACCAAGUGGGUCCCACUGCCUAAUUAACUGCAGGCUAAUUUCCUAUUUCAGUUAAGUUCAUCCUCGUGGCCCCACCCGCAGGUCAAAACCACCAUUGACCAGCGCCACGUCAGCUGCAAGUUGAGACAAACCACCCAGGGGGGUCUUUUGUCCGGUAUGGGUUUGUCUAGGGGGUGAAAAGAGCAGAAAAAUAUAUCAGGGGGUAAUGUGAACCACCAACUUUGUUCAGGGUAGUAAAAUGAACUUUUUUCUUAACACAACGGAUAGGGCAUGACAUGAAGUAGCCAAGGGGUAAGCGCAAAAAGCAGUUCUCAUUAUUGCAACUAAGAAGUGCUAAGAACAGCAGCUCCAAGUCUCUAGUAUAGCACUUCGUAGGUGCAAUCUGCAG
rnacentral:lncRNA from 1 species